UUACAAGCCUAAAAGUUAAACAAUUUCAAGGGAAAAUUGUUCUCAACAGUAGUGUCUCCACAUUAAUUUUUAUCAAUCCAGAUAUACAAGAAUUGGCGGCCUACAAAACGAUCUUUAAUGACUCUACACAUGCCAUUAAAAUGAUGCCUUCUUCCGCCACUCAACUAAUGACACCUCAACAUUUAGAAGCUGCUAAAAAGCUAUC